ACAGAGGGUGCGAGCGUUGUUCGGAAUCACUGGGCGUAAAGGGCGUGUAGGCGGUCAAGUAAGUGGGAUGUGAAAUCCCUCGGCUCACCCGAGGACCUGCAUCCCAAACUGCUUGGCUUGAGUAUGGGAGAGGAUGAGGGAAUUCCUGGUGUAGCGGUGAAAUGCGUAGAUAUUGGGAGGAACACCAGUGGCGAAGGCGGCUCACUGGACCGGUUCUGACGCUGAGGCGCGAAAGCGUGGGGAGCAAACAGGA
rnacentral:rRNA from 1 species